AUGGGGCCGUGUCCAGAGUACCAGUUUAAGUUGGGAAUUUCAAGUUCUAACAAGGUUAUACUUUUACAAAUUUACAACCGAUGAUGUUGUGAUAAAGAGAACCAAUAUAAGAAAAUUAUGAAACGACAUGACAAGCUUAGUUAAAAUUUGAUUAUAUAUACUUGAUCACAUAAAAACUCAUUCCCACAAAAGUGAGUUUUGAGCCUUUAUUGAGCAUACAAAUACAUAUCUUUACACUAAAUGCUCAUUUUUCGUUUCUUGUGUGAAUAGCCGCUUGGUUCUUACGACUCUAGAACUUACCACGACAAUACAUUCCCGGUCCUUACCAACUUAAACCCAAGUAAGUAAAUGAUGGAGGCAUUAGGACUAACCCUUUUUUUUUCUACACCAUUAUUUUUUUCAUUUUUUUUACCACCUACCCAAAAUCCCCCUAGUUAACCCCUUUGAGCCUAAACCUUUUCAUUUCUUAACCCAAAAACAAACACCCUUUUUACCCACCAAAACCUUUUUUAUUUUAACCCUUUCUUUUAGUAACAAAGCUCGGUUUUUCUUAUGACUCAAAAAAAAAUAUUUUGAUGAUGAAACCAAAUAAACAAACAAGUUCAUCAAAAAUAACUUUGUUUGAAAUAAAUGGUUCAUCAAAAUAAAAUAAAAUUGUGAAAAAUAAAAAGUCUUUCAAAAACCGACGCUUUUUACGCUUUUCGCCCUUUCACUAACCACUAACCUAACCACUCACCUUUAGCCCAAGCCUAACCUUUCACCCAAAAAGUCCCCUUGAUAUUUACAAAGGUAUAUUGUUAAAAAGGAGGAGGAUUGAUUGCUUGGCAAGCUUAUGGUAGAAGUAAGUUCCAUGCCGCUCUCGAGUGAUUCACUAAAAAUACACCUUCGACCGAGUGUUGAGUGAUCCCCCGUGAGGUAUGUGAACUUGUAUAUAAAUAGAAUUUUAAAAAGGCAUAUUAUGCCCUAAUAAGUAAUUUAUCUUAUGAAAUGUUUUUAAUAAAUCCUGACGAAUAGGAUUGUAAAUAAAUAAAAAUAAAACUUAAAUAAAGAAUCUUGGAAAUCCCGACACUCUAUGACAAGCCCAAAAACCUUCUCUUCUACCCAUUCCAUUUGGGAGUGAAAAAGCCACAUCAUAAAGAGUUUUGCUUGAGGACAAGCAAAGAUUCAAGUGUGGGGGUAUUUGAUGUGCACAAAAUGCAACAUAUAAAUUACAUCAAUUGUGGCAUAAAACUAACCCUUUUUUAGUACUAAUGUUGGAAAAAGUGUGCUUUUGUCUUCCUUUUGUAUUUUCAGGAUUAAAUGAGCUCA
rnacentral:lncRNA from 1 species